AUUGAACGCUGGCGGCAGGCUUAACACAUGCAAGUCGAACGAGUGGCGGACGGGUGAGUAAUGCUGGGGAAUCUGGGUUAUGGAGGGGGAUAACGACGGAAAACUGUCGAUAAUCCCGCGUACCCUGGUAUGAGCCCAUGUGGGAUUAGGUAGUUGGUGGGGUAAUGUCUUACCAAGCCGACGAUCUCUAGCUGGUCUGAGAGGAUGACCAGCCACACUGGGACUUAGACACGGCCCAGACUCCUACGGGAGGCAGCAGUGGGGAAUAUUGCACAAUGGGGGCAACCUGACGCAGCCAUGCCGCGUGUAUGAAGAAGGCCUUAGGGUUGUAAAGUUCUUUCGGUGGCGAGGCGUUAAUCACAGAAGAAGCACCGGCUAACUCCGUGCCAGCAGCCGCGGUAAUAC
rnacentral:rRNA from 1 species